rnacentral:tRNA from 2 species
UUAAAAUAAAGCGAUAAAUUGCGUUCAGUUUCGGCCUGAAUUUAGAAAUCUUCUAUUUUUUAAU